GACAGGCUUAACACAUGCAAGUCGAGGGGCAGCACGUUCUUAGCUUGCUAAGGCCGAUGGCGACCGGCGCACGGGUGAGUAACACGUAUCCAACCUGCCGUCUACUCUUGGACAGCCUUCUGAAAGGAAGAUUAAUACAAGAUGGCAUCAUGAGUCCGCAUGUUCACAUGAUUAAAGGUAUUCCGGUAGACGAUGGGGAUGCGUUCCAUUAGAUAGUAGGCGGGGUAACGGCCCACCUAGUCUUCGAUGGAUAGGGGUUCUGAGAGGAAGGUCCCCCACAUUGGAACUGAGACACGGUCCAAACUCCUACGGGAGGCAGCAGUGAGGAAUAUUGGUCAAUGGGCGAGAGCCUGAACCAGCCAAGUAGCGUGAGGGAUGACUGCCCUAUGGGUUGUAAACUUCUUUUAUAAAGGAAUAAAGUCGGGUAUGGAUACCCGUUUGCAUGUACUUUAUGAAUAAGGAUCGGCUAACUCCGUGCCAGCAGCCGCGGUAAUACGGAGGAUCCGAGCGUUAUCCGGAUUUAUUGGGUUUAAAGGGAGCGUAGAUGGAUGUUUAAGUCAGUUGUGAAAGUUUGCGGCUCAACCGUAAAAUUGCAGUUGAUACUGGAUAUCUUGAGUGCAGUUGAGGCAGGCGGAAUUCGUGGUGUAGCGGUGAAAUGCUUAGAUAUCACGAAGAACUCCGAUUGCGAAGGCAGCCUGCUAAGCUGCAACUGACAUUGAGGCUCGAAAGUGUGGGUAUCAAACAGGAUUAGAUACCCUGGUAGUCCACACGGUAAACAAUGAAUACUCGCUGUUUGCGAUAUACUGCAAGCGGCCAAGCGAAAGCGUUAAGUAUUCCACCUGGGGAGUACGCCGGCAACGGUGAAACUCAAAGGAAUUGACGGGGGCCCGCACAAGCGGAGGAACAUGUGGUUUAAUUCGAUGAUACGCGAGGAACCUUACCCGGGCUUAAAUUGCAGAUGAAUUACGGUGAAAGCCGUAAGCCGCAAGGCAUCUGUGAAGGUGCUGCAUGGUUGUCGUCAGCUCGUGCCGUGAGGUGUCGGCUUAAGUGCCAUAACGAGCGCAACCCUUGUUGUCAGUUACUAACAGGUUCCGCUGAGGACUCUGACAAGACUGCCAUCGUAAGAUGUGAGGAAGGUGGGGAUGACGUCAAAUCAGCACGGCCCUUACGUCCGGGGCUACACACGUGUUACAAUGGGUGGUACAGAGGGCCGCUACCACGCGAGUGGAUGCCAAUCCCAAAAACCUCUCUCAGUUCGGACUGGAGUCUGCAACCCGACUCCACGAAGCUGGAUUCGCUAGUAAUCGCGCAUCAGCCACGGCGCGGUGAAUACGUUCCCGGGCCUUGUACACACCGCCCGUCAAGCCAUGGGAGCCGGGGGUACCUGAAGUGCGUAACCGCGAGGAGCGCCCUAGGGUAAAACUGGUGACUGGG
rnacentral:rRNA from 1 species